rnacentral:rRNA from 1 species
UCCUGGCUCAGGAUGAACGCUAGCUACAGGCUUAACACAUGCAAGUCGAGGGGCAGCAUAAUCGAAGCUUGCUUUGAUGAUGGCGACCGGCGCACGGGUGAGUAACGCGUAUCCAACCUUCCCCUUAGUAGGGCAUAGCCCGGCGAAAGUCGGAUUAAUACCCUAUGUUAUCCGUCGAGGACAUCUGAAGUGGAUUAAAGAUUUAUCGCUAAGGGAUGGGGAUGCAUCUGAUUAGGUUGUUGGCGGGGUAACGGCCCACCAAGCCUGCGAUCAGUAGGGGUUCUGAGAGGAAGGUCCCCCACAUUGGUACUGAGACACGGACCAAACUCCUACGGGAGGCAGCAGCGAGGAAUAUUGGUCAAUGGGCGAGAGCCUGAACCAGCCAAGUAGCGUGCAGGAUGACGGCCCUAUGGGUUGUAAACUGCUUUUGCAUGGGAAUAAAGUCGGGGACGUGUCCCCGUUUGUAUGUACCAUGAGAAUAAGGACCGGCUAAUUCCGUGCCAGCCGCCGC